UACGUAGGGGGCUAGCGUUGUCCGGAAUCAUUGGGCGUAAAGCGCGUGUAGGCGGUCCGGUAAGUCCGCUGUGAAAGUCGGGGGCUCAACCCUCGGAUGCCGGUGGAUACUGUCGGGCUUGAGUACGGAAGAGGCGAGUGGAAUUCCUGGUGUAGCGGUGAAAUGCGCAGAUAUCAGGAAGAACACCUAUGGCGAAGGCAGCACUCUGGGACGGUACUGACGCUGAGACGCGAAAGCGUGGGGAGCGAACAGG
rnacentral:rRNA from 1 species